AGUUAAGUGAACAAGGGCAUACGGCGGAUGCCUUGGCGCCAAGAGCCGAUGAAGGACGCGGUAAGCUGCGAAAAGGCAUGGGUAGGAGCAAGCAUCCAGUGAUCCAUGCAUAUCCGAAUGGGGCAACCCACCAUCAGUCAUGUGAUGGUACGAAAGAGGCAGACCUGGGGAACUGAAACAUCUAAGUACCCAGAGGAAAAGUAAUCAAUUGAGAUUCCCUAAGUAGCGGCGAGCGAAAGGGGAAGAGCCCAAACCAUGAAACUUCGGUUUUGUGGGGUUGAGGACCGGCAAAAAGAGGAAACUUCUUAGUCGAAUGGUUUGGAAAGGCCAUGCACAGAAGGUAAAACACCUGUAGGCGAAAAGAAGUCAAUCGGGCUGGUAUCCAGAGUACUGCGAGACACGUGAAACCUUGCAGGAAGCAGGGGGGACCACCCUCCAAGGCAAAAUACUACUUGGCGACCGAUAGCGCAUAGUACCGUGAGGGAAAGGUGAAAAGAACCCCGGGAGGGGAGUGAAAUAGAACCUGAAACCGUAUGUCUACAAGCAGUCGAAGCACCUUAAGAGUGCGACGGCGUGCCUAUUGAAGAAUGAACCGGCGAGUUACAUUAUGUUGCGAGGUUAAGUGGGAGACACGGAGCCGAAGCGAAAGCGAGUCUUAAUAGGGCGACUAGUAACAUGGUGUAGACCCGAAACCGCAGUGAUCUAUCCAUGGUCAGGUUGAAGCGCAGGUAAAAAUGCGUGGAGGACCGAACCCGUGAGUGUUGAAAAACUUUGGGAUGAACCGUGGAUAGGGGUGAAAUGCCAAUCGAACGCGGAGAUAGCUGGUACUCCCCGAAAUAGCUUUAGGGCUAGCCUCAGGGAAGAUUAUAGACGGUAGAGCACUGAUCUGGCAAGGGGGCGUAAAGCCUACCGACCCUAGUCAAACUUCGAAUGGCUAUAAUUAAGACCCUGGGAGUCAGACUGCGAGUGAUAAGACCCGUAGUCAAGAGGGAAACAGCCCAGACCGCCGACUAAGGUCCCCAAUGCUGUACUAAGUGGAAAAGGAUGUAAGACUUCAUAAACAACCAGGAUGUUGGCUUAGAAGCAGCCACCAUUAAAAGAGUGCGUAAUAGCUCACUGGUCGAGAGGCCUUGCGCCGAAGAUGUCCGGGGCUCAAGUACAGAACCGAAGUCGCGGCAGGAUUAUAUAAUUCUGGGUAGGGGAGCGUUGUAUAUCCGACUGAAGGUGUACCGGAAGGAGCGCUGGAGGAUAUACAAGAGAGAAUGCCGGUAUGAGUAGCGAAAAGAACAGUGAGAAUCUGUUCCACCGAAAGCCUAAGGUUUCCUGAGCAACGCUCGUCGACUCAGGGUAAGUCGGGACCUAAGCCGAGGCAAAAAGCAUAGGCGAUGGACAACAGGUUAAUAUUCCUGUACCGCUUCAAAUCGUUUGAGCAAUGGAGUGACACAGAAGGUAGCUUGAGCACGCGAAUGGAUGUGCGUGUCGAAGGUGGUAGGUUGCAGUAUAGGUAAAUCCGUACUGUAUAAGACCGAGAACUGAUAGAUAGACGAUACUUCGGUAAAGUCAAAUUCAAGUGAGCCAUGCUGUCGAGAAAAGCUUCUAGUGAGAGAUGAGGCGCCCGUACCGAAACCGACACAGGUAGGCGGGGAGAGAAUCCUAAGGUGCGCGGGACAACCCUCGUUAAGGAACUCGGCAAAUUGUAUCCGUAACUUAGGGAUAAGGAUAGCCGGAGGAUGUGAAGGGAUUUACUUCUGGAGCGUCAGCCGGUGGCACAAGAGAGGCCCAAGCGACUGUUUAGCACAAACACAGGUGCCUGCAAAAGAGAAAUCUGACGUAUAGGUGCUGACACCUGCCCGGUGCUGGAAGGUUAAGAGGAGGGCUUAGAGGAAACUCGAAGGCUUGAAUUGAAGCCCCAGUAAACGGCGGCCGUAACUAUAACGGUCCUAAGGUAGCGAAAUUCCUUGUCGGGUAAGUUCCGACCCGCACGAAAGGUGUAACGACUUGGGCACUGUCUCAACGAGGGACCCGGUGAAAUUGAAGUACCUGUGAAGAUGCAGGUUACCCGCGACUGGACAGAAAGACCCCAUGGAGCUUUACUGCAACCUGACAUUGAUGUUCGGUAAAUAACGUACAGGAUAGGUGGGAGACGGAGAAGUAUUGGCGUUAGCUGAUAUGGAGUCAACCUUGGGAUACCACCCUUUAUUUAUUGGACCUCUAACUGAAGAAGUAACGACUCUCAGGACAGUAUCAGGCGGGCAGUUUGACUGGGGCGGUCGCCUCCCAAAAUGUAACGGAGGCGCCCAAAGGUUCCCUCAGCGCGAACGGAAACCGCGCAAAGAGUGUAAAGGCAGAAGGGAGCUUGACUGCGAGUCAGACACGACGAGCAGGUACGAAAGUAGGGCUUAGUGAUCCGGUGGUUCCGAGUGGAAGGGCCAUCGCUCAACGGAUAAAAGCUACCCUGGGGAUAACAGGCUAAUCUCUCCCAAGAGUCCAUAUCGACGGGGAGGUUUGGCACCUCGAUGUCGGCUCAUCACAUCCUGGGGCUGGAGCAGGUCCCAAGGGUUGGGCUGUUCGCCCAUUAAAGUGGUACGUGAGCUGGGUUCAGAACGUCGUGAGACAGUUCGGUCCAUAUCCAUCGCGGGCGUAAGAGACUUGAAGGGGGCUGCUCCUAGUACGAGAGGACCGGAGUGGACGGACCAAUGGUGUACCAAUUAUCCCGCCAGGGGUACAGUUGGGUAGCUACGUCCGGAAAAGAUAAACGCUGAAAGCAUCUAAGCGUGAAACUUGCCUUAAGAUGAGGUCUCCCGAAGCGAAAGCUUGAAAGACACCUUGAAGAUGACGAGGUUGAUAGGCCAGGAGUAGAAGUUCAGUAAUGAAUGUAGCGUACUGGUACUAAUAUGUCGAGAGCUUAACUUA
rnacentral:rRNA from 1 species